rnacentral:rRNA from 1 species
UACGUAGGGUGCGAGCGUUGUCCGGAAUUAUUGGGCGUAAAGAGCUCGUAGGCGGUCUGUCGCGUCGAUCGUGAAAACUUGGGGCUUAACCCUGAGCUUGCGGUCGAUACGGGCAUGACUGGAGUUCGGCAGGGGAGACUGGAAUUCCUGGUGUAGCGGUGAAAUGCGCAGAUAUCAGGAGGAACACCUGAGGUGAAGACGGGUUGCUGGGCCAACACUGACGCUGAGGCGCGAAAGCGUGGGGAGCAAACAGG